GAGGUAGAACUACAAUGAUUGAAGUAAAAAUGACAAAAACUCCAAAGAUCAGUCCCACCUUACUCCAAUGUACAAUAAAUUAAAGCAUUCCUAUCCGUAAAUGACCAUAUAGCAAACACUGGAACAAACGAACGAACUAGUAUUAAUGUAAUAUGCUUACUUCUUCAGCUAUCUAAAUCGCAAUUCCAAGUCAGUGAUUGACAUGAAACGAUCCACGAUUCGUGACCUGGACAGUGAUCCUCCAGUUGUGCCUGCUGCCUAUCCUAAACCUGAACUACAUCUAUUGCCUUCUCCACCACUACAACAUAGCAAAUAAAGAAAUAAUACCUCGGAACAUCCCAAAAAAAUAAAUGAAGCAGUUGACUCCAAUUGUUGAGUUGCCAACUUAAAGUUCAACGAAAUGAGAUCCGAUAUCAAAGCCUUCAGCAAUUACAGGUAGAUGCUAGUAGUAUGCUGAAGCAGUGAUGCCCAAAAAGAAGAUUUAGACGUGCCAGCCAAAAGAUCCAAAGGCUCUUGUAUGUUUGAACCUGUUCAAAUAUUUUUAUCAGAAAUUGCUUGGUUUCAUAAUUGCAAGGCCAGGUCUGGCUGCUGAGAAUCAACCAAAACGGUUGAAGAUGGACGACCAGGAGACCCAGAUGACUGGAAACUAAUGUUUAAGUCAGGGGGGAGGGAAUCCUGCUUCUGCCUUGGCUGUGCUGGUUGAUUAAACCCCUGCCAAGCAGGUUGUACCUGGAACCUAGACAAGUCCGCAGGUAUUGAUUGGCGGAAAAUCAUUUGAGGAUUCUGAAAUUGAGCUUCACUGCCCACUCUCGCAGGAUGAGGUACAAAAGCAUGAAGUGGACUACUGUUCUCAGCCUGAAAGUGCAUUGCUGAUGCAGGAUGUUCACCCCGAACUCGUGAUGUUUGUUGCUGGACAUUGCGAGAAGGGUUAUACAAUGAAUCAGCAGAAAUAUGACUAUUCUGCAUGCUUGAUGUUUCCAUGCCUUGUCUGAAACCUCCUGCCCCAACUGACAUCCAUGCUCGGGCAGCGGCGGCGGCGGCAUUUCCUGAAUCAUCCUUCCUCACAGAUGGAGUCACAGGGGAAAUUGGAGAAGCAUCAGUUAGGGACUGACUCAAAGAGUUCUGUUGAUUUUGAGCCUUUUCAGACAACAUUCUCAUCAACUGAACAGGGUCACUAAGGCCCUGCUCCUGUUCUUGGUGAAAGAAACCUGCAACUUUUCUCACGGUUGGAACGCUAUCAGCAGUUAAAUGCGCUGCUGGUGUAGUGUCUAGGUUGUUAUUCACUGCUCUCCCAUUGGCCAUUCCUCCAACAGCACUUCCAUUCUUGGCUGAUUGCGUAAAUGACCCAGAUGAGAAUGGGUUCCUCGGACUUACCCCAGUAGACCUCGAUCCAGGUGUUUCAGAAGUAACAGUAACAUUAAUCUUUCUGGUAAUUUCAGAAUUCCUAGGACUGUCUAACAGUGGGCAAUUUAACUCAACCUGCUUCUGCAGUUUUUUAUCAGGUUCAGAUUUGAAAUGGAUCUUUUUAGCAGGUUCAUUGAAAUUUCUGGAUUGCAAAUCAGGAUGCUGGUAUCUGGAGCUAGCACAAACAGCAGGUUUCUUUCCAGAAGAAAGAAACGAUGACCUCCUUUCUAGAUUGACCUCCCUAGGAGAUUGCUCCUUCGUGGGAAUCAAGACAUUCAAACCACUCUCCAUAGGCUUACCCUUAGUUGAACCAAGAUAUGAUGAUUUUCCUCCUAAUAGAGGCCUAGAAAGAGGUUUAUCUUUUGGAGCAAUUGCGUCCUCGGAUGUUUUCUCAUUCUUUUGAGCUCCAAACUUAUGUACGGACUUGGAGAAGAAUGGAGGUUCCUUCAAGGUAUAGUUCUCAAGCACCAAAACUGGGGUUGGAAGUGGCUCAUAUUCCCCAACCCACCCACGGCCAAACUUGAAUCCAGGAGGUAAUGCCUGUUCAAUUUUCUGGGAUGCAACUCGCCAUGCUACAGGACCGAGAGUUGCAGCAAACCGGGCAAGGCUCCUAGCAUAUGCAUGAUCAGAAUAAAGCCCAACAGUGACCAGGUGCUUGCUUUCAUCUUCAAACGUUGAAAAUAUGGAGUCCGUGUUGCCAACUGGUUGUGUGGAUAUGUUGUAACUUCCACGACGGUUCUCAUCAGGCACAGUUAAUUUCCUUCCAAAUCUGGAUAGAGGACCCUUCCCUGAUAGUGAUUCUUCUGCCUUGUCUACAUUUUGAUCUAUCAGUGAAGAAUUUCCUUCAGCAAGCCCAUCAACACCAUAAGGUUUCACCGACACUCCAGCAAGAGGAGUGUUGUUAAGAUAGUGGCUAUCUCCAGCUGCAGCAAGAGUGGCACCUGAUGAGAAAUCAGAGCCAACAUUUUCCUGGAACAUCGAGACCAUCGGCUUCUUUAUUUGCUUCCUGACAACAGAACCAUAUUUUGUCUUCUGUUCUAACUUGACGUCCUUUUCAGAUCGGUCAUACUUGAUUCUUAGCUUCUCAAAUUUCUUUGUAGCCAACUCUUGGAUGGUACGUGCCUGUUUAUGGUAGACAGUAUCUGAUGAAUUGUACUGCAUUGCGUUUGAACAAAUGAGGAAGAUAUCGCUCUCUAAUUGCUCCAAAGUGGCAUAUGAUCCAGUUCGCAAUUUGUUUCUGACGGUGGUAAAGUCCAUGGGAUUAUCAAUCACCUCAUGGUAAUCAGGAAGCUCUUC
rnacentral:misc_RNA from 1 species